rnacentral:rRNA from 1 species
UACGGAGGGUGCAAGCGUUAAUCGGAAUUACUGGGCGUAAAGCGCGCGUAGGCGGCUUAUCAAGUCAGUUGUGAAAUCCCUAGGCUUAACCAAGGAAUUGCAUUUGAAACUGAUAAGCUAGAGUCUCAUAGAGGGAGGUAGAAUUCCAGGUGUAGCGGUGAAAUGCGUAGAUAUCUGGAGGAAUACCAGUGGCGAAAGCGGCCUCCUGGAUGAAGACUGACGCUCAGGUGCGAAAGCGUGGGGAGCAAACAGG